GGGGAAUAUUGCGCAAUGGGCGAAAGCCUGACGCAGCGCCGCGGCGUGAGGGAUGAAGGUUCUCGGACCGUAAACCUCUGCCAGAGGGGAAAAAACCGCACCGUGCUAUUCAGCGUGCCAUUGCGGGUACCUUCAAAGGAAGCACCGGCAAACUCCGUGCCAGCAGCCGCGGUAAUACGGAGGGUGCAAGCGUUAAUCGGAAUUACUGGGCGUAAAGCGCACGUAGGCUGCUUUGUAAGUCAGGGGUGAAAUCCCACGGCUCAACCGUGGAACUGCCUUUGAUACUGCUUAGCUUGAAUCCGGGAGAGGGUGGCGGAAUUCCAGGUGUAGGAGUGAAAUCCGUAGAUAUCUGGAGGAACAUCCGUGGCGAAGGCGGCCACCUGGACCGGUAUUGACGCUGAGGUGCGAAAGCGUGGGGAGCAAACA
rnacentral:rRNA from 1 species